rnacentral:rRNA from 1 species
GACGAACGCAGGCGGCGUGCUUAACAUAUGCAAGUCGAACGGAAAGGCCCUUCGGGGUACUCGAGUGGCGAACGGGUGAGUAACACGUGGGUGAUCUGCCCUGCACUUUGGGAUAAGCCUGGGAAACUGGGUCUAAUACCGAAUAGGACCACGGCAUUCAUGUGCUGUGGUGGAAAGCUUUUGCGGUGUGGGAUGGGCCCGCGGCCUAUCAGCUUGUUGGUGGGGUAAUGGCCUACCAAGGCGACGACGGGUAGCCGGCCUGAGAGGGUGACCGGCCACACUGGGACUGAGAUACGGCCCAGACUCCUACGGGAGGCAGCAGUGGGGAAUAUUGCACAAUGGGCGCAAGCCUGAUGCAGCGACGCCGCGUGAGGGAUGACGGCCUUCGGGUUGUAAACCUCUUUCGCCAGGGACGAAGCGCAAGUGACGGUACCUGGAGAAGAAGGACCGGCCAACUACGUGCCAGCAGCCGCGGUAA